GGGCGCAAGNCCUGAUGCAGCGACGCCGCGUGAGGGAUGGAGGCCUUCGGGUUGUAAACCUCUUUUGUUAGGGAGCAAGGCACUUUGUGUUGAGUGUACCUUUCGAAUAAGCACCGGCUAACUACGUGCCAGCAGCCGCGGUAAUACGUAGGGUNNAARMNNUAUCCGGAAUUAUUGGGCGUAAAGGGCUCGUAGGCGGUUCGUCGCGUCCGGUGUGAAAGUCCAUCGCUUAACGGUGGAUCCGCGCCGGGUACGGGCGGGCUUGAGUGCGGUAGGGGAGACUGGAAUUCCCGGUGUAACGGUGGAAUGUGUAGAUAUCGGGAAGAACACC
rnacentral:rRNA from 1 species